rnacentral:rRNA from 1 species
UGUAGUACGGUCAGUAACACGUAGUCAACCUGCCCUGGAGACAAGGACAACCCCGGGAAACUGGGAUAAUCCUUGAUAGGUCAUCUCAUCUGGAAGGAGAGAUGGCUUAAAGGGGUACGCGGGCUUCUUCCGCGUAUUCGCUCCAGGAUGGGACUGCGUCCGAUCAGGCUGUUGGCGGGGUAAUGGCCCACCAAACCUGUAACCGGUACGGGCCUUGAGAGAGGUGGCCCGGAGAUGGACACUGAGAGAAGGGUCCAGGUCCUACGGGGCGCAGCAGGCGCGAAACCUUCGCAAUGCGCGAAAGCGUGACGAGGUUAAUCCGAGUGGCCUCCGCUGAGGAGGUCUUUUGUCAGCUGUAAAUAGGCAGGCGAAUAAGGGGAGGGCAAGCCUGGUGUCAGCCGCCGCGGUAAUACCAGCUCCUCGAGUGGUCGGGGCGAUUAUUGGGCCUAAAGCAUCCGUAGCCGGUUCCGUAGGUCCUCUGUUAAAUCCAACCGCUUAACGGUUGACCUGCAGAGGAUACCGCGGGACUAGGAGGCGGGAGAGGCGGACGGUACUCCGCGUGUAGGGGUAAAAUCCUUUGAUCCGCGGAAGACCACCAGUGGCGAAGGCGGUCCGCCAGAACGCGCUCGACGGUGAGGGAUGAAAGCUGGGGGAGCGAACCGGAUUAGAUACCCGGGUAGUCCCAGCCGUAAACGAUGCUAGCUAGAUGAUUCAUUCGCAAGUCGCGAAUGAAGUGUCGCAGGGAAGCCGUUAAGCUAGCCGCCUGGGGAGUAAGGUCGCAAGACUGAAA